rnacentral:rRNA from 1 species
GACGAACCGUGCGAACGUUGUUCGGAAUCACUGGGCUUAAAGGGCGCGUAGGUGGUCUGCCAAGUCGGGUUGAAAUCUUUCGGCUCAACCGGAAAAGUGGCUUCGAUACUGGCAGGCUGGAGGGAGGUAGGGGCGGAUGGAACUUCCGGUGGAGCGGUGAAAUGUGUUGAUAUCGGAAGGAACGCCGGUGGCGAAAGCGAUCCGCUGGACCUCUUCUGACACUGAGGCGCGAAACGCCAGGGAGGACAAACCGGGAGUU